rnacentral:rRNA from 1 species
UACCAGCACCCCGAGUGGUCGGGACGUUUAUUGGGCCUAAAGCUUCCGUAGCCGGUUCUACGAGUCUUCCGUUAAAUCCAACUGCUUAACAGGUGGGCUGCAGAAGAUACUAUAGAGCUAGGAGGCGGGAGAGGCAAGCGGUACUCGAUGGGUAGGGGUAAAAUCCGUUGAUCCAUUGAAGACCACCAGUGGCGAAGGCGGCUUGCCAGAACGCGCUCGACGGUGAGGGAUGAAAGCUGGGGGAGCAAACCGG